CCUCCUCCUCCUCCUCGUAUUCUCCGUCCGACGACCGGGAGCAGCACUCCGCCGCGUGGUCCAGCUCCGCAAGCAUUUCGAACCGUCGGAUCCGGUGGAGCAAUUGCUCCGUCGUCCCUACACCACACGGCCAACAAGAUAUAGAGGAAGAAAUUGACGUGAUUUAAUAGCGCGGGCCCUACUCAAUCAAAGAAUCCAAAGAAAUUGUUCUUGCGGUGUCGAUACAAUACAACAAGGUACGGCUUCACACCUUUCAAAUCUCAUCAAUUAUUUUUUUCCCCACUUAAAUAGUUCAUUAUUUCAUUUUUUUUAAAAAAAUAUUUUAAAACCAAUCGUAGCCUUACUUUCAAUGGAGUCGAGGCUUCUAUAGAACUCCUCUUCCUCUUCAUCCUCCUUCACUAUCAAAACUGGACCCGGUCCAACCUUUCCGUCGAAUUCCUGUUUAACAAUAAGAAGAAGAGCUGAAUAAAUUAGAUAAUGAAAUUGAGUCAAACCGGGUCGAGCCCGAUUGGACCACAAGUCCGGUCCAGUCCGUGGGAGUAAAAAAUGACGAGACCAAAAGCCGUGCACGCAUGCCCCGGUCCCCACUCUUUCUGCGGACAGGCCCAGAAAAAGAUAAGAGAGUACUAUUCAUCAUAAUUAAUGGAAUAUUAACUUUACAUUACAUCAAUCCCUAUCCUAAACUUUCCGCCGGGCCUCUCGAUUAAUUACUAAUUACGCGCUUAGUUAUGUGUAGCAGUGUUUGUUGGUUUUCCGUUUGGAAGCCUCUAAUGAUGGUUAUAGGAUUCAUUAGGGUGGAUUUGGAGAGGCCCGUCGACGAUUUUAUGGUAUUAAAGCGCUGGAAAGCAGCGCACCUAAUUGUGGCUUUGGGGCCCCUAAAUAAUGGAGGGAGCACUGUUUGUCAAAUGUGGGGCCGAUGGUGCAAAAUUAGCGAAUUUUAAGGGGUGAUGUGAAGUUUUGUAAGUGGAGUGAUGUGAGUUUCGUUACUCACCGUCGCCGGCGAGGGGGUGGCGGUGGUGCUGGCGAUGGUGGCUUCUUCUUCUUCGUUUUCUGAUGGCUGCGACGACGAUGAGAGGGAUGACGAGUAUUCUUUCUUGGCUUCGCCGGAGGCGGUGGCUGGGUCGUAGGCGAGGACAGGGGAGGAGUCGACCGGCGACACGAAUCGGAGGGGCUGCCACCGGACGGGGUUCGCCCACGUGGCGUCUUCGACUGUGGCGGAUUUCUGCUCCGCCUCCGGCCUCUGUUUCUUCCUCUUCCAGGAGAGCACCGAGAAGGCGGUGCGCUCCGAGCGCGCCGCCUGCAGGCAGCGCCUUUUGACGGCCUCGAUGACGGCAGAGAAUUUACCGAGCGCAUUCCCGUUGGCCGUCGCCGCGUCUUGGACGGCGGUACUUCUCCCGGCCGUCUUCUUGCGAAGUUCGCCGUCGAGGAGGCUACGGACGGUGACAACGCCGCCGCCGCCGAGCACGAGGCCGUCGUCGUCGUCGUGGUCGAGCUCCAGGUACUCCUUGAGCAUGAGCGGCUUCGGCGCCACCAUCGGCGUCGUCAUCGAUCGAAUUGAGGGGGCGGAGGAGGGCCCGCACGAGGAGGAGGAGGAGGAGCUUCGUCGGCGAUUCGAUUGCUUCACGCCAUGGGCGAAAGCUGGGUGGGCUUCGUCUUGUUCGACGGCAUUUAUUAAUGGCCGAGCUUCUCCCCAACACUUUGAGUUUAUUUACUCCA